AGUCACUGACAUUAGAUACCCCGGUAGUCCUAGCCGUAAACGAUACUCGCUAGGUGUCGGCCACGGUGCGACCGUUGUCGGUGCCGUAGGGAAGCCGUGAAGCGAGCCACCUGGGAAGUACGGCCGCAAGGCUGAAACUUAAAGGAAUUGGCGGGGGAGCACCACAACGGGUGGGCCUGCGGUUUAAUUGGACUCAACGCCGGGAAGCUCACCGGAUAAGACAGCGGAAUGAUUGCCGGGCUGAAGACCCUGCAUGACCAGCUG
rnacentral:rRNA from 1 species